UACGAAGGGGGCUAGCGUUGUUCGGAAUCACUGGGCGUAAAGCGCACGUAGGCGGACUUUUAAGUCAGGGGUGAAAUCCCGGGGCUCAACCCCGGAACUGCCUUUGAUACUGGAAGUCUUGAGUCCGAGAGAGGUGAGUGGAACUCCGAGUGUAGAGGUGAAAUUCGUAGAUAUUCGGAAGAACACCAGUGGCGAAGGCGGCUCACUGGCUCGGUACUGACGCUGAGGUGCGAAAGCGUGGGGAGCAAACAGGAUUAGAUACCCCGGUAGUCC
rnacentral:rRNA from 1 species